UCAGUCUUCAAUGGAUUCUGAAAACUCAAUGCCUUUGUCUCUGUGGAGCUUUUCAAAGAAUCACUUAUGUCUGUGUGCUAAUGAGCAAUGGGGAAAGUCUCAUGAAUUAUUUUUGUCGCCCAAAGCAAACAGUGUCAUUGCCACUGCAGGUGAAAUGAAAAUUGCAAUUCUGGAGGGAGGGGAGGUCACAGAACUCUAACAAGGUUUGAGCUGCCGCUAUUACAACUCCUUUUUAAGAGUCAGGAUCUGCAGAAUGACAGCACCAUCCUACAGAUGCAUGAAGCCUGCUGGACUCCAGGAAUUCAGCUCAAUGCUUAUCUGUGAAUCUCUGCUUCUGCUUCCAUCAAGUACUGGAUGAAAGAAAUAUGAUGGCAUUUAUGCAGUGAUCAAUCUCAUUAUAAUGGAACAACAUUUAAGAGUCUGUUGACUUUCAAGGAUGUGGCCAUUAAUUUCUCCAAGGAGGAAUGGGAAUGCCUGCAUACUUCUCAGAGGAAUUUAUACAGAGAUGUCAUGUUGGAGAAUUAUAGCAACCUGGUUUCUGUAGGCCUUUCUGAAUCAAAACCAGAGCUAGUCACCUGUCUUGAAGAAAACAAAGAACCCUGGAUGGUAAAUAUAGAUGAAGCAGAAGGCUUGGAACAGGGUGUGUUUUGUUAUACAAUUCAGGAGAUGAUCCCAAAAGAGGGUACACAGGAUACUUGUCAGAGAGAAAUGCCAGGAUGUUUAGGAAAUAAUAGCCCUGGGGAAUUAAACAUAAGGAAGUUCUCAGUUUAUAAUUGUAAAGGAUGUGGGAAG
rnacentral:lncRNA from 1 species